GCCAUUGAUACUGACUUGCUGGAAUGAGGAUGACGGAGGAGGAAUGUGUGGUGUAGCGGUGAAAUGCAUAGAUAUCACACAGAACACCGAUUGCGAAGGCAUCUCACGAAUCCGCGAUUGACGCUGAUGCACGAAAGCGUGGGUAUCAAACAG
rnacentral:rRNA from 1 species